rnacentral:rRNA from 1 species
GAAAGUAAGCAAGGGCAGACGGUGGAUGCCUUGGCUCUCGGAGGCGACGAAGGACGUGAUAAGCUGCGAAAAGCCCGGGGGAGGCGCAAAUAGCCGUUGAUCCCGGGAUAUCCGAAUGGGGCAACCCGGCAGGCUGAAGGCCUGCCAUCCCGAAAGGGAGGCGAACGUGGGGAACUGAAACAUCUAAGUACCCAUAGGAGGAGAAAAUAAACAAUGAUUCCGUAAGUAGUGGCGAGCGAACACGGAAGAGCCCAAACCCAUGUCGUCUAGGCGACACGGGGGUUGUAGGACCACGACGUGGCAAGAUAGAGUCAAGUGGAACGCCUUGGAAAAGGCGGUCAUAGAGGGUGAAAACCCCGUACACGACUGACGAUUGAAGCCUAGUGGCAUCCUGAGUAGCGCGGGGCACGAGAAAUCUUGCGUGAAACAGCGGGGCCCAUCCCGUAAGGCUAAAUACUCCCGAGAGACCGAUAGCGAACCAGUACCGUGAGGGAAAGGUGAAAAGAACCCCGAGCAGGGGAGUGAAAUAGACCCUGAACCCGUCUGCCUACAAGCGGUCGGAGCGUCGUAAUGACGUGACGGCGUGCCUUUUGCAUAAUGAACCUACGAGUUACCUUCCCCGGCAAGGUUAAGUUCUUGAGGAACGGAGCCGAAGCGAAAGCGAGUCUGAACAGGGCGCCAAGUCGGGGGGGGUAGACGCGAAACCGAGUGAUCUACCCUUGGCCAGGUUGAAGGUUGGGUAACACCAACUGGAGGACCGGAUGGGUAAGCGUUGAAAAGCUUUCCAAUGAGCUGAGGGUAGGGGUGAAAGGCUAAUCAAACUCGGAGAUAGCUCGUACUCCCCGAAAUGCAUUUAGGUGCAGCCUCUUUAUAGUAUAUCGUGAGGUAGAGCGACUGAUUGGAUGCGAGGGCUUCACCGCCUAUCAAGUCCAGAUAAACUCCGAAUGCGCGAUAUAUAUUUACAGGGAGUGAGGGCGCGGGUGCUAAGGUCCGUGUCCGAGAGGAGAAGAAUCCAGACCACCGGCUAAGGCCCCCAAAUGAUCGUUAAGUUGAACUAACGAGGUCGGAUCGCAGAGACAGCUAGGAUGUUGGCUUGGAAGCAGCCAUUCAUUUAAAGAGUGCGUAACAGCUCACUAGUCGAGCGAUCUGGCGUGGAUAAUAAUCGGGCAUAAACGAUCUGCCGAAGCCGUGGAUGUCGCAAGACAUGGUAGGGGAGCAUUCCAUGCGGCGUCGAAGAUGAGGGAUGACCCUUGUUGGAGCGCAUGGAAAAGCAAAUGUAGGUAUGAGUAACGAUAAGGGGGGCGAGAAACCCCCCCGCCGAAAGACCAAGGUUUCCUGAUCAACGCUAAUCGGAUCAGGGUGAGUCGGGACCUAAGGCAAAGCCGAACGGCGCCGCCGAUGGAAGAAUGGGUUAAUAUUCCCAUACUGCCUCAUGGAGUGACGUGGAGACGGAGAAGUGACAGUCCUGCCGGCUGACGGAAUAGCCGGUUGAAGGGUGUAGAUAUUGAUUCCCGUAGGCAAAUCCGCGGGGAGAGUCGAACCUGAGAGUAUACGGAGCGCUUGCGCAACGUAAUAUGGACGUAACCAUGCUCCCGAGAAAAUCCGCUAAACUUAUCCAUGCGGCACCCGUACCGUAAACGGACACACGUGGUCGGGUUGAGAAUACUGAGGCGCUCGAGUGAUUCACGGUUAAGGAACUAGGCAAAUUGACCCUGUAACUUCGGGAUAAAGGGUCCUCGUCGUAAGGCGAGGCGCAGAGAAUAGGUCCAGGCAACUGUUUAACAAAAACACAUGGCUGUGCUAAAUGGAAACAUGAUGUAUACAGCCUGACACCUGCCCGGUGCCGGAAGGUUAAGAGGAGAUGUCAUCCGCGAGGAGAAGCGUUGAAUUGAAGCCCCGGUAAACGGCGGCCGUAACUAUAACGGUCCUAAGGUAGCGAAAUUCCUUGUCGGGUAAGUUCCGACCUGCACGAAUGGUGUAAUGAUCCGGACGCUGUCUCAACCGUGAGCUCAGUGAAAUUGUAGUAUCGGUGAAGAUGCCGAUUACCCGCGAUGGGACGAAAAGACCCCGUGAACCUUUACUAUAGCUUUACAUUGAGUUUGGGCAGACGAUGUGUAGGAUAGGCCGGAGGCAUUGAAGCAGGUACGCCAGUAUUUGUGGAGCCGACGUUGAAAUACGGCCCUUCGGUUGUUUGAGUUCUAACUCCUAGUUAGGAGGACACUGUAUGGUGGGUAGUUUGACUGGGGUGGUCGCCUCCAAAAGCGUAACGGAGGCUUCUAAAGGUGCGGCGGAUGCUGGCAGAAAGAGCGAUUAUCCGCAAGCUUCCCGCGGUGGAGACAUUAGGCUGUGCUACGGUGAUUUGCACGGAUAAGACGGGUACGCUUACGGAAAAUAAAAUGGAGCCGGUCGCGGUGCAGACGGCGGUUUACCAGUACGAGCCGAAAAGCGAUAAGACGAAAUGGUCGCUCGAGGGGCAAAUGCUUUUAAAAUGCGCGUUGCUUUGUAAUAAUGCCGCCGCUGAUGAGGCGCGCGCCAAUCAGACCGACGAGGCGCUGCUUAGGUUGACGGACGCUGAAGACUGCGCCCGUAUUCGCCGCGAAAAUAAGCGCCUGAGCGAGGAGUGUUUCGACAGCCGCAAAAAAAUGAUGAGCGUGCGCACAGAAUCGCGUGGUAAAAUCCAUAUUUACCGCAAAGGAGCACCGGAGUAUGUCGCGCAAAUGUGCAAAUACAUCAUGCUUGACGGGCAAAUCGAGCCACUCACUCAAGCGUGGCAGGAGCAGAUAUUGGAACAGAAUAAACAGCUGGCGAAAA